GUGUGAAUAAAGACUUUUUCAGAGUUGAGGAGUUGGGGGGCAUGCCAGCGAAUUGUCAGGCUGCAUAAAGAUUCUUUUUAGCUCAACUCGAGACAAGUUGAAUUCUUGGUAUGUUUUGGCAACUGAUUGACUGAUAAAUAAUCCAUAGUUUUAUAUGCAUAAUGAUAAUUUUGAGCCUAUCUGACCCUGCACACGUGCGCUUUCAAUAGUUAUCCAGUAGCUCUUUCUGGAUCUUGAGUUGGUUUUUAGAAAUUUUUUAGUGCAUGAGGACUGCAAAAUUCAACAGCAGGUGAAGAUUUGGUGCUCCAUUUCUAUUGUUUUUG
rnacentral:misc_RNA from 1 species